UCAGGUUCAGAAUUGCCUUGGUAUCUUCCAGUGUGGGACGAUGUUGAUUGUCGGGAUUUGAAGAUAAGUGUGCCCCAUCCCGUGGCUGAGCCUGUCGGUUUCGCACAGUGGCUGCACGACACCUCAUGGACCCGAUGUGAAGGACAAGUAAGCCAUCCACACGAAGUCGGCGGCAGCAAGGGUGUGGGGCGUCGGGAGGAGCAUCUGGGUUGAAGGUUCUGGCCCUCGCCAUUGAGACUACCGUGUUCGUCGCCGAGUACAUCUGGGGAAGGUGGAGCUGCGAGGAAACAAGACAGGUGGACAAUGCGACAGGAAGCAAGAAUGAAUUUCUAAUCAAUCUACUG